GGCUGGUCGGUAAGCUUAGCUGGUUAUAUAGCAUGGUGCUGGUAACACCAAGGUCAAGGGUUCGAUCCCCUUACCAGCCA